rnacentral:lncRNA from 1 species
GAAAAGAAGCCAUGUUGGGAAGGCAAGCUAAAUACAGAACAUGACCCAAAAGCAAAGGGUGUCUCCAAAAGGGGUAAUGCAGACCGAGACAAUAGUUUCACAGAUCAAUAGGAAACAUUUAAAGGUCCACUGAUGAGCUAGACUGCAGGGGCGCUCCUCUUCUAUAAAAGGAAAAUAAAAUGGAUCAAUAAGAAAUGAAAACUGAUAUUAAAAGGCUGAGAUUU